UACAGAGGUCCCAAGCGUUGUUCGGAUUCACUGGGCGUAAAGGGUGCGUAGGUGGCGUGGUAAGUUUGAUGUGAAAGCUCAGGGCUUAACCCUGAAAUGGCAUUGAAUACUACUAUGCUGGAGGUUUGGAGGGGGGACUGGAAUUCUUGGUGUAGCAGUGAAAUGCGUAGAUAUCAGGAGGAACACCGGUGGCGAAGGCGGGUCUCUGGGCCGAUACUGACGCUGAGGAGCGAAAGCGUGGGGAGCGAACAGG
rnacentral:rRNA from 1 species